UGGGGGAAUUUUCCGCAAUGGGCGAAAGCCUGACGGAGCAAGACCGCGUGAGGGAAGAAGGUCUGUGGAUUGUAAACCUCUUUUGAUAGGGAAGAAGAACUGACGGUACCUAUCGAAUCAGCCUCGGCUAACUCCGUGCCAGCAGCCGCGGUAAUACGGAGGAGGCAAGCGUUAUCCGGAAUUAUUGGGCGUAAAGCGUCCGUAGGUGGAUGGAGAAGUCUGUUGUUAAAGAGUGGAGCUUAACUCCAUAAGGGCGAUGGAAACUCUUCGUCUAGAGUGCGAUAGGGGCAAGGGGAAUUCCCAGUGUAGCGGUGAAAUGCGUAGAUAUUGGGAAGAACACCGGUGGCGAAAGCGCCUUGCUGGGUCUGCACUGACACUGAGGGACGAAAGCUAGGGGGAGCGAAAGGGAUUAGAUACCCCUGUAGUCCUAGCUGUAAACGAUGGGUACUAGGCGGUUGUCCGUAUCGGACCCGGGCAGUGCCGUAGCUAACGCGUUAAGUACCCCGCCUGGGGAGUACGCUCGCAAGA
rnacentral:rRNA from 1 species